UACGUAGGGCGCAAGCGUUGUCCGGAAUUAUUGGGCGUAAAGAGCUCGUAGGCGGCUUGUCACGUCGGGUGUGAAAGCCCGGGGCUUAACCCCGGGUCUGCAUUCGAUACGGGCUGGCUAGAGUGUGGUAGGGGAGAUCGGAAUUCCUGGUGUAGCGGUGAAAUGCGCAGAUAUCAGGAGGAACACCGGUGGCGAAGGCGGAUCUCUGGGCCAUUACUGACGCUGAGGAGCGAAGGUCAGGGGAGCAAACGGG
rnacentral:rRNA from 1 species